GCCGGGUGCGGUGGCUCACGCCUGUAAUCCCAGCACUUUGGGAGGCUGAGGUGGGUGGAUCACUUGAGGUCAGGAGUUCGAGACCAGCCUGGCCAACAUGGUGAAACCCCAUCUCUA
rnacentral:SRP_RNA from 2 species